AAGGAUAGAGGUUGAGAAUCUGUCACCAACGCGCCAUUUAGCUAGUAGGUCGAGAAAUGCAGGAGCCUCGACAGUCCUGUCUAUCCUU
rnacentral:ncRNA from 12 species